rnacentral:lncRNA from 1 species
UUUAAGGCCUGGCAGUGGAGAGAAGAGCUUUUUGCUGGAGACUCCUGCCUACCUGAGGUCUUCUGAAGAUGUUCAUAGGGACAAUUCAGCUGGCUGGCCAGUAGCUUAUUAUCCAUCCCUAUUCAAGGAACACUUUUCCAAGAAACACUUCAGCUUCCAGCACAGUAACUACAGAGGAAAUGCUGCUGGCUGCGGUGCAGCAUGACAAGUAGUAAUCUCUCCUCAUGCAAACUUAAAGUAUAGUGAGACUGACAUGGCACCUCAGCACGUGUACUACCCAACUCUGGGAUUUCAAACUACAUGCCAUUCCCUUCCAGUUGGAGACAAGUUUAUGAGCUUGAGCAGGCAAUGAAAGCUUCUUUCCAUACUAAUGAAAUGUCCAAGUCCUAAUGGAUUAGUAGUUUUCAUAUCAGAUUAAAUCUGCUUUUUUUUUUUUGUUUUGUUUUGUUUUUUGCUGAUAAAGGCACAAAAGUCACUCCUAAUAGGCUUUCACAUUUUGUUAGCAAAAAUACAUUUCAAUAGAGCACAGUGCCAAUGAGAUACAAACAAGACAGAAAAGGCCCUAACACGUUAUGACGGACUGCUCAGAAGCUCUACUUUCCUCCAACUGGCCAGAACACAGAGAGACAACUUGCAGAGGUUUAUUGCUGAUGCAUAGAAACCCUAAGGGCAUGUUUCUAGAAACUCAUGCACAGCCAGCCAACCUCUGGUCUCCACAGAUGUCCCUGGAGCUGUGCUGGAGCCCUGAUCAGGCUUGGGGACUCUGGAGCCUGGGGAAGUUUUCAGGCUAUUUUGAUAGUAGAAGCUAUUCCAUUGAUUUGUGAAGCCACUGAUUGAAUAGAGAUCCCAAAUUCAAUGGCUCACCAGUAACUUUUCACCCUACAAGACUACAAGUGUUGGGAUAAAAUAUCAACGAUGCAGUUCCUCCACAUUUGCUUAAAGACAACAGCCUCAGACAUAUACCCCAGGUGAAACCAUACAUCCUGUUGUGCUUUGUAAGCAUGUUAAAAUCCCUUCAUGUGCCAAUUCUUUCAGUGACUCUUCUGUGGGAGUGAUAUAAAGUAUAGGAUAAUAUUGUCUCUACCCAUGAGUAACCUGAUAGCUAUUUUUUAAAAUGGCUGUUUUUGUUCUUGUUGUUAUUGUUUUCUUUACAUCUGUAAACUUUUCUAUUUGUUAUUUUGGUUCCUAACAAAGUGAUUGCUGUUUCAAUCAGUGUUCCAAUAUGCUCCCCUCCUUUAGUUUCUGAAUGAGUCUAAGGUAACUUCUAGACAGGAAGGGAAAAAGAGAGAUGAGUUAUAGCACCUGAAGUCAGAAAGAGAAUUCUGAAAGGAAAAUGUAAUUAAGAAAUAAAUUGAAAA